UACGUAGGGUCCGAGCGUUGUCCGGAAUUAUUGGGCGUAAAGGGCUCGUAGGCGGUCUGUCACGUCGGGAGUGAAAACUCAGGGCUCAACCCUGAGCGUGCUUCCGAUACGGGCGGACUAGAGGUAUGCAGGGGAGAACGGAAUUCCUAGUGUAGCGGUGGAAUGCGCAGAGAUCAGGCGGAACACCCGUGGCGAAGGCGGCCAGCUGGGCCGGCCCUGGCGCUGAGGCGCGAAGGCGUGGGGAGCGAACGGG
rnacentral:rRNA from 1 species